AGUAUUGUCCUGUCACGGGGUGUCGUUUAGGGCCGGAGACGGACCCAGAUGAGAAAAAGAUGUGGUAUGCAGUGCACUCCUCCCUCAUCACGGCUCUCUAGUGUUCCCUCUCCCAGUCAGAACAACCCAGACGGGCUCUACUCCUCUUAUCAGAUGGAGCCAGGCAGGCAGGACAGGACGGGGCCAGUGUGGAUCCAGCUGCUCCCAGGAGCAGGGCGCAGUCCCACUUAAUAGGUCUUCCCGGCAUCCCAGGCCUCGCCCCACUGGCAUCCCAGUCACAGCCAGGCAGGCUACUCCGUGGGUGGCACGCCUUGGAAACAGGCGGCAGAGACA
ensembl:lncRNA